GAGUGUCUGUUGACACCACUCGCC
rnacentral:rRNA from 1 species